rnacentral:rRNA from 1 species
CACGUAGGGCGCAAGCGUUGUCCGGAAUUAUUGGGCGUAAAGAGCUCAUAGGUGGUUUGCUGCGUCCGCUGUGAAAACCCAAGGCUUAACCUUGGGCUUGCAGUGGAUACGGGCAGACUAGAGGUAGGUAGGGGAGAAUGGAAUUCCCGGUGUAGCGGUGAAAUGCGCAGAUAUCGGGAGGAACACCGGUGGCGAAGGCGGUUCUCUGGGCCUUACCUGACGCUGAGGAGCGAAAGCGUGGGGAGCGAACAGG